AUUGAACGCUGGCGGCAGGCCUAACACAUGCAAGUCGAACGAGUGGCGGACGGGUGCGUAAUGUCUGGGAAACUGCCCGAUGGAGGGGGAUAACUACUGGAAACGGUAGCUAAUACCGCAUACCAUCGGAUGUUCCCAGAUGGGUUUAGCUAGUGGGUGGGGUAACGGCUGACCUAGGCGACGAUCCCUAGCUGGUCUGAGAGGAUGACCAGCAACACGGGAACUGAGACAGGGUCCAGACUCCUACGGGAGGCAGCAGAGGGGAAGAUUGCACAAUGGGGGCAAGCCGGAUGAAGCCAUGCCGCGUGGAGGAAGAAGGCCUUCGGGUUGAAAAGUACUUUCAGCGAGGAGGCGUUACUCGCAGAAGAAGCACCGGCUAACUCCGUGCCAGCAGCCGCGGUAAUUC
rnacentral:rRNA from 1 species